rnacentral:rRNA from 1 species
AUUGAACGCUGGCGGCAUGCCUUACACAUGCAAGUCGAACGGCAGCACGGGAGCAAUCCUGGUGGCGAGUGGCGAACGGGUGAGUAAUAUAUCGGAACGUGCCCAGUCGUGGGGGAUAACGCAGCGAAAGCUGUGCUAAUACCGCAUACGAUCCAUGGAUGAAAGCGGGGGAUCGCAAGACCUCGCGCGAUUGGAGCGGCCGAUAUCAGAUUAGCUAGUUGGUGAGGUAAAGGCUCACCAAGGCGACGAUCUGUAGCUGGUCUGAGAGGACGACCAGCCACACUGGAACUGAGACACGGUCCAGACUCCUACGGGAGGCUG